GGGUUGUGAGGUUAAGCGACUAAGCGUACACGGUGGAUGCCCUGGCAGUCAGAGGCGAUGAAGGACGUGCUAAUCUGCGAAAAGCGUCGGUAAGGUGAUAUGAACCGUUAUAACCGGCGAUGUCCGAAUGGGGAAACCCAGUGUGAUUCGUCACACUAUCGUUAACUGAAUACAUAGGUUAACGAGGCGAACCGGGGGAACUGAAACAUCUAAGUACCCCGAGGAAAAGAAAUCAACCGAGAUUCCCCCAGUAGCGGCGAGCGAACGGGGAGCAGCCCAGAGUCUGAAUCAGCUUGUGUGUUAGUGGAACGGUCUGGAAAGUCCGACGGUACAGGGUGAUAGUCCCGUACACCAAAAUGCACAGGUUGUGAACUCGAAGAGUAGGGCGGGACACGUGGUAUCCUGUCUGAAUAUGGGGGGACCAUCCUCCAAGGCUAAAUACUCCUGACUGACCGAUAGUGAACCAGUACCGUGAGGGAAAGGCGAAAAGAACCCCGGCGAGGGGAGUGAAAAAGAACCUGAAACCGUGUACGUACAAGCAGUGGGAGCACCUUCGGGUGUGACUGCGUACCUUUUGUAUAAUGGGUCAGCGACUUAUAUUCUGUAGCAAGGUUAACCGUAUAGGGGAGCCGCAGGGAAACCGAGUCUUAACUGGGCGUUAAGUUGCAGGGUAUAGACCCGAAACCCGGUGAUCUAGCCAUGGGCAGGUUGAAGGUUGGGUAACACUAACUGGAGGACCGAACCGACUAAUGUUGAAAAAUUAGCGGAUGACUUGUGGCUGGGGGUGAAAGGCCAAUCAAACCGGGAGAUAGCUGGUUCUCCCCGAAAGCUAUUUAGGUAGCGCCUCGUGAACUCAUCUUCGGGGGUAGAGCACUGUUUCGGCUAGGGGGUCAUCCCGACUUACCAACCCGAUGCAAACUACGAAUACCGAAGAAUGUUAUCACGGGAGACACACGGCGGGUGCUAACGUCCGUCGUGAAGAGGGAAACAACCCAGACCGCCAGCUAAGGUCCCAAAGUCAUGGUUAAGUGGGAAACGAUGUGGGAAGGCACAGACAGCCAGGAUGUUGGCUUAGAAGCAGCCAUCAUUUAAAGAAAGCGUAAUAGCUCACUGGUCGAGUCGGCCUGCGCGGAAGAUGUAACGGGGCUAAACCAUGCACCGAAGCUGCGGCAGCGACACUAUGUGUUGUUGGGUAGGGGAGCGUUCUGUAAGCCUGCGAAGGUGACCUGUGAGGGUUGCUGGAGGUAUCAGAAGUGCGAAUGCUGACAUAAGUAACGAUAAAGCGGGUGAAAAGCCCGCUCGCCGGAAGACCAAGGGUUCCUGUCCAACGUUAAUCGGGGCAGGGUGAGUCGACCCCUAAGGCGAGGCCGAAAGGCGUAGUCGAUGGGAAACAGGUUAAUAUUCCUGUACUUGGUGUUACUGCGAAGGGGGGACGGAGAAGGCUAUGUUAGCCGGGCGACGGUUGUCCCGGUUUAAGCAUGUAGGCUGAUUGUCCAGGCAAAUCCGGAUAAUCAAGGCUGAGGUGUGAUGACGAGGCACUACGGUGCUGAAGUAACAAAUGCCCUGCUUCCAGGAAAAGCCUCUAAGCAUCAGGUAACAUCAAAUCGUACCCCAAACCGACACAGGUGGUCAGGUAGAGAAUACCAAGGCGCUUGAGAGAACUCGGGUGAAGGAACUAGGCAAAAUGGUGCCGUAACUUCGGGAGAAGGCACGCUGGUGUGUAGGUGAAGUCCCUGCGGAUGGAGCUGAGACCAGUCGAAGAUACCAGCUGGCUGCAACUGUUUAUUAAAAACACAGCACUGUGCAAACACGAAAGUGGACGUAUACGGUGUGACGCCUGCCCGGUGCCGGAAGGUUAAUUGAUGGGGUUAUCCGUAAGGAGAAGCUCUUGAUCGAAGCCCCGGUAAACGGCGGCCGUAACUAUAACGGUCCUAAGGUAGCGAAAUUCCUUGUCGGGUAAGUUCCGACCUGCACGAAUGGCGUAAUGAUGGCCAGGCUGUCUCCACCCGAGACUCAGUGAAAUUGAACUCGCUGUGAAGAUGCAGUGUACCCGCGGCAAGACGGAAAGACCCCGUGAACCUUUACUAUAGCUUGACACUGAACAUUGAGCCUUGAUGUGUAGGAUAGGUGGGAGGCUUUGAAGCGUGGACGCCAGUCUGCGUGGAGCCAACCUUGAAAUACCACCCUUUAAUGUUUGAUGUUCUAACGUUGGCCCCUUACCGGGGUUGCGGACAGUGUCUGGUGGGUAGUUUGACUGGGGCGGUCUCCUCCCAAAGCGUAACGGAGGAGCACGAAGGUUAGCUAAUCCUGGUCGGACAUCAGGAGGUUAGUGCAAUGGCAUAAGCUAGCUUGACUGCGAGCGUGACGGCGCGAGCAGGUGCGAAAGCAGGUCAUAGUGAUCCGGUGGUUCUGAAUGGAAGGGCCAUCGCUCAACGGAUAAAAGGUACUCCGGGGAUAACAGGCUGAUACCGCCCAAGAGUUCAUAUCGACGGCGGUGUUUGGCACCUCGAUGUCGGCUCAUCACAUCCUGGGGCUGAAGUAGGUCCCAAGGGUAUGGCUGUUCGCCAUUUAAAGUGGUACGCGAGCUGGGUUUAGAACGUCGUGAGACAGUUCGGUCCCUAUCUGCCGUGGGCGCUGGAGAAUUGAGGGGGGCUGCUCCUAGUACGAGAGGACCGGAGUGGACGCAUCACUGGUGUUCGGGUUGUCAUGCCAAUGGCACUGCCCGGUAGCUAAAUGCGGAAGAGAUAAGUGCUGAAAGCAUCUAAGCACGAAACUUGCCCCGAGAUGAGUUCUCCCUGAGACUUUAAGUCUCCUGAAGGAACGUU
rnacentral:rRNA from 2 species